AAAGCAAAGACUAUAAAAUGCCAGAGCUUCACUCUGCUGAAAUAACAUUAGUGAAAUAUCAAGUCCUUUAUGAUGUCAUGAGGGAUUCCUUAAUAUGACUAUAGCCUCCUAAUGACAUCAUAAAAAACAACUGCAACAUCAGAAAACAGCCAAGGGUCAUCAAUCAGCCCAUCCUCUCUCCUACUCACCAGGGGCAGCAGCCCAGCUUGCUCCUAUCUGCUUUUUAUGAGCAGUGCUGUCCUCUGAAUAGCACACAGAGAAGAGACUAAUAAUCAUACAAAUAUCAGGGAGAGCGGUCAAUCAUCACCUGAAGCAUUCAGUACACCUGAGGGAAAUUCGGGUGCUGCAGCCUGAAGAGUCUGCAAGUUUAGCAUGUAGAAAAGACAACAUUACUGCCUUAGAGGUGACCUGGCAUUCUCUGGGCAACACAAGUUGUCAAGCGAAGGAGGGUGGAAAGGAGGAGAAGCCUAUGCAAAUUGGAAUGCACACAAUCUUCUGACAAUCACUUAGUCUGCAUCUUUCUGCUGUGAAAUCUAGUAACAGCUGGUUUGCUUUACAUGCAAGAACUUGUUUCCAGAGCAGCAUGGGAGGCUCAGGAUCAUUAAAAGUUUCUGCCAGCACUGGAACAUCUCCUGUUGAGGCACAAAAUAUAAAUUGGUCUGUGACAGGAGGAGAGGCAGCAGGGAGUGAAACAGGCUGCUGGUGUUUGAGGCUCAUAGGUCCUGCAGCCUUCCCCUGUUCUUGACAUGUACCAACUCUCUAAGAUUUUUUUCCCUGUGACUUCUUGUUAGGUUAAGCUGUUAUUUGUGUUCAGAAUUAAAGAAGAAAACUGAAUGACAAAAGCACAAAAUAUUUUAAG